ensembl:ncRNA T13H2.6 ncRNA
CGGAAAAAACUAAUUCUCAGGGGGUUUGUAACGUACUAUAAAGAAUAAAAAAGCUGAAUAAUUUUUUUUGGGAAAGUCACAAUUUUCAGUUAAACGAUAACAAUAAUUUUUCUCAAAGAAAACACUCGAGCCCACACCACUCAAUGUGUGAGUGCAGGACGCGAAAACCAAUUAUAACGAUGUGUCUUGUUUCUGUGGAUGGGAUGGAAUUGAAAAUGUUUUUCAUCAGAGCAAGAAGAGGAAAAAGGAAAAGGAGACGAGGAAGAGAAGGGCGUAGGAGCCUUCUUUGCGUGAGCGUAUUCGUAUAGGGGG